GACGAACGCUGGCGGCGUGCUUAACACAUGCAAGUCGAACGGAAAGACCCUGCUUUUGUGGGGUGCUCGAGUGGCGAACGGGUGAGUAACACGUGAGUAACCUGCCCUUGACUUUGGGAUAACUUCAGGAAACUGGGGCUAAUAUCGGAUAGGAGCUCCUGCUGCAUGGUGGGGGUUGGAAAGUUUCGGCGGUUGGGGAUGGACUCGCGGCUUAUCAGCUUGUUGGUGGGGUAGUGGCUUACCAAGGCUUAGACGGGUAGCCGGCCUGAGAGGGUGACCGGCCACAUUGGGACUGAGAUACGGCGCAGAAUCCUACGGGAGGCAGCAGGGGGGAAUAUGGCGCAGUGGGCGGGAGCGUGAUACAGCAACGCCGCGUGCGUGAUGACCGCCUUCGGGUUGUAAACCGCUUUCGACUGUGACGAAGCGGGAGUGACGGUAAUGAGUAAAGAAGCACCGGCUAACUACGUG
rnacentral:rRNA from 1 species